rnacentral:rRNA from 1 species
GAUGAUCUGCCUUCGGUUGGGGACAACAGUUAGAAAUGACUGCUAAUACCCAAUGUGCCGCAAGGUGAAAGAUUUAUUGCCUGAAGAUGAGCUCGCGUCUGAUUAGCUAGUUGGUGGGGUAAAAGCCUACCAAGGCGUCGAUCAGUAGCUGGUUUGAGAGGACGACCAGCCACACUGGGACUGAGACACGGCCCAGACUCCUACGGGAGGCAGCAGUGGGGAAUUUUCCGCAAUGGGCGAAAGCCUGACGGAGCAAUACCGCGUGAGGGAGGAAGGCUCUUGGGUUGUAAACCUCUUUUGCUUGGGAAGAAUACUGACGGUACCAAGCGAAUAAGCAUCGGCUAACUCCGUGCCAGCAGCCGCGGUAAUACGGAGGAUGCAAGCGUUAUCCGGAAUUAUUGGGCGUAAAGCGUCCGCAGGUGGCACUUCAAGUCUGCUGUCAAAGACCGGAGCUUAACUCCGGAAAGGCAGUGGAAACUGGAGAGCUAGAGUAUGGUAGGGGUAGAGGGAAUUCCCAGUGUAGCGGUGAAAUGCGUAAAGAUUGGGAAGAACAUCGGUGGCGAAAGCGCUCUACUGGGCCAUAACUGACACUCAGGGACGAAAGCUAAGGUAGCCGAAUGGGAUU